CGCUGGCGGCAUGCCUUACACAUGCAAGUCGAACGGCAGCACGGGAGCAAUCCUGGUGGCGAGUGGCGAACGGGUGAGUAAUAUAUCGGAACGUGCCCAGUCGUGGGGGAUAACGUAGAGAAAUUUACGCUAAUACCGCAUACGAUCUAAGGAUGAAAGCGGGGGAUCGUAAGACCUCGCGCUGAUAGAUGAGCCCAUGCCGGAUUAGCUAGUUGGUGAGGUAACGGCUCACCAAGGCGACGAUCCGUAGCUGGUCUGAGAGGACGGCCAGCCACACUGGGACUGAGACACGGCCCAGACUCCUACGGGAGGCAGCAGUGGGGAAUAUUGGACAAUGGGGGAAACCCUGAUCCAGCGACGCCGCGUGUGUGAAGAAGGCCUGCGGGUUGUAAAGCACUUUCGGUGGGAACGAAAUAUGCCGGGCUAAUACCCCGGUAGGCUGACGUUACUCAAUGAAGAAGCACCGGCUAACUCUGUGCCAGCAGCCGCGGUAAUACAGAGGGUGCGAGCGUUAAUCGGAAUUACUGGGCGUAAAGCGCACGUAGGUGGCGACGUAAGUCGGGUGUGAAAGCCCCGGGCUCAACCUGGG
rnacentral:rRNA from 1 species